UGCUCCUACGGGAGGCAGCAGUGGGGAAUAUUGCACAAUGGGCGAAAGCCUGAUGCAGCAACGCCGCGUGAGCGAUGAAGGCCUUCGGGUCGUAAAGCUCUGUCCUCAAGGAAGAUAAUGACGGUACUUGAGGAGGAAGCCCCGGCUAACUACGUGCCAGCAGCCGCGGUAAUACGUAGGGGGAGAGCGUGAUCCGGAAUUACUGGGCGUAAAUGGAGCGGAGGUGGUUUCUUAAGUCAGAGGUGAA
rnacentral:rRNA from 1 species